rnacentral:rRNA from 1 species
AGAGUUUGAUCCUGGCUCAGGACGAACGCUGGCGGCGUGCUUAACACAUGCAAGUCGUGGGCACCAGCAAUGGUGACCGGCGAACGGGUGCGUAACACGUAAGCGACCUACCGAUCCGCGGGGGAUAGCCGGCCCAACGGCCGGGUAAUACCGCAUACGCUCAUUGAGCUGCAUGGCUUGGUGAGGAAACCUCCGGGGCG